UCUUCUUCUUGUUGAUUGGUUUGGCCCUGUGUUGUGACAGUUCAAAGAAAAAAGGUCUGGAUGAGCCUACUUUUAAAAGCUUUCACAUGACCUCACUCGGGCAUGCUUAGGGGUGCCUAGCGUCUCCUUGUGCCUCAUAGCACUUGGCUGUGCUUGGUUGAGGUUGCUCACCUUUCCCUGGAUGAGGCGCUAUACUUGGAGCCCCACGCAUCUGAGGCACGCCUUUGAUAACAGU
rnacentral:misc_RNA from 1 species